ensembl:lncRNA
CCCCCCUCAGGCCAAAUCAAUGGUCGACACCACAGUAUCAGCGCUAGUCAAGCCCCCCCCCCUCAGGCCAAAUCAGUGGCCGACAUCACACUGCCACCACUCUAAUUACAAAGUUGUCAUGUUUUUCAAGGUAGAUCUUGUUGGAUAAGAGUUGGGAGUUGUUUGAAGCACAGAGAGAGAGAAAGCAUACUGUACUGUACAUGUGACACACUGAGAGAGAGAAAGCAUACUGUACUGUACAUGUGACACACUGAGAGAGAGAAAGCAUACUGUACUGUACAUGUGACACACUGAGAGAGAGAAAGCAUACUGUACUGUACAUGUUGACACACUGAGAUAGAGAGACCAUACUGUACUGUACAUGUGACACACUGAGAGAGAGCAUACUGUACUGUACAUGUGACACACUGAGAGAGAGAAAGCAUACUGUACUGUACAUGUUGACACACUGAGAGAGAGAAAGCAUACUGUACUGUACAUGUGACACACUGAGAGAGAGCAUACUGUACUGUACAUGUGACACACUGAGAGAGAGAGAGAGAGAGAGAGAGAGAGAGAGAGAGAGAGAGAGAGAGAGAGAGAGAGAGAGAGAAAGCAUACUGUACUGUACAUGUUGACACACUGAGAGAGAGAGAGAGAGAGAGAGAGAGAGAGAGAGAGAGAGAGAGAGAGCAUACUGUACUGUACAUGUGACACACUGAGAGAGAGAAAGCAUACUAGCAUACUGUACUGUACAUGUUGACACACUGAGAGAGAGAGAGAGAGAGAGAGAGAGAGACACUGAGAGAGAGAGAGAGAGAGAGAGAGAGAGAGAGAGAGAGAGAGAGAGAGAGCAUACUGUACUGUACAUGUUGACACACUGAGAUAGAGAGACCAUACUGUACUGUACAUGUUGACACACUGAGAUAGAGAGAGCAUACUGUACUGUACAUGUUGACACACUGAGAUAGAGAGACCAUACUGUACUGUACAUGUUGACACACUGAGAUAGAGAGACCAUACUGUACUGUACAUGUUGACACAUGACAUCUGCUGGUGGAAUUGCAUAGACUCAGGUUCCCCUAACAUCACACAGAAACAACUACACAGGUGUGUGUGUGUGUGUGUGUGUGUGUGUG